UACAUGGGGUGCAAACGUUGCUCGGAAUUAUUGGGCGUAAAGCGCACGUAGGUGGUUCCUUAAGUCGGAUGUGAAAGCCCUCGGCUCAACUGAGGAAGUGCAUCCGAAACUGAGGGGCUGGAGUAUGGUAGAGGGUCGCGGAAUUCCCGGUGUAGAGGUGAAAUUCGUAGAUAUCGGGAGGAACACCGGUGGCGAAGGCGGCGACCUGGGCCAACACUGACACUGAGGAGCGAAAGCCAGGGGAGCAAACGGG
rnacentral:rRNA from 1 species